rnacentral:rRNA from 1 species
AUCUUGCGCAAUGGCCGAAAGGCUGACGCAGCGACGCCGCGUGGGGGAGGAAGGCCUUCGGGUUGUAAACCCCUGUUGCCCGGGACGAACCCCUGGUUUCGACCAGGUUGACGGUACCGGAACAAGAAGCACCGGCUAACUACGUGCCAGCAGCCGCGGUAAUACGUAGGGUGCGAGCGUUAAUCGGAAUUACUGGGCGUAAAGCGUGCGCAGGCGGUUUGUUAAGCCAGAUGUGAAAGCCCCGGGCUCAACCUGGGAACUGCGUUUGGUACUGGCAAGCUAGAGUACGGCAGAGGGGGGUGGAAUUCCACGUGUAGCAGUGAAAUGCGUAGAGAUGUGGAGGAACACCGAUGGCGAAGGCAGCCCCCUGGGCCGAUACUGACGCUCAGGCACGAAAGCGUGGGGAGCAAACAGG